AACGAACGCUGGCGGCAGGCCUAACACAUGCAAGUCGAGCGCCCUUUCGGGGGUGCGGCGGACGGGUGAGUAACGCGUGGGAAUAUGCCCUUCUCUACGGAAUAGCCUCGGGAAACUGAGAGUAAUACCGUAUACGCCCUUUGGGGGAAAGAUUUAUCGGGGAAGGAUUAGCCCGCGUUUGAUUAGGUAGUUGGUGGGGUAAUGGCCUACCAAGCCGACGAUCCAUAGCUGGUUUGAGAGGAUGAUCAGCCACACUGGGCCUGAGACACGGCCCAGACUCCUACGGGAGGCAGCAGUGGGGAAUCUUAGACAAUGGGGGCAACCCUGAUCUAGCCAUGCCGCGUGAGUGAUGAAGGCCUUAGGGUUGUAAAGCUCUUUCAGCUGGGAAGAUAAUGACGGUACCAGCAGAAGAAGCCCCGGCUAACUCCGUG
rnacentral:rRNA from 1 species